rnacentral:rRNA from 1 species
CGGGUGAGUAACGCGUGGGUAACCUGCCUUAUACAGGGGAGUAACAGUUGGAAACGGCUGCUAAUACCGCAUAAGCGCACGGCAUCGCAUGAUGCAGUGUGAAAAACUCCGGUGGUAUAGGAUGGACCCGCGUUGGAUUAGCUAGUUGGUGAGGUAACGGCCCACCAAGGCGACGAUCCAUAGCCGACCUGAGAGGGUGACCGGCCACAUUGGGACUGAGACACGGCCCAA